rnacentral:lncRNA from 1 species
UAUUGGUAAUAUUAAGUCAAAUCACAUGGAUACACAGAAACUUCUGUAUUCAAGAUUACAGAUACUGCACGGCCGCAUCGUGCAAUGGAUGAAAAUCAUAUUUUAUUCAUGACGGUGGCGAGAAGGGAAGACACCAUGUAGUGAGGAACACCAGGGAUUCCCGCCAUAGAGAACUACAGUGUGCUACUUAGUCUACUAAAUGGGAGGGCGAUAGAGCAUGUUUCUGCGAAGCGUCUAUGCCAGAUGAAGUAUGCUUUACACAUUCACUCUCGCAAACUUCCAUUCUAACAUACCACUUGUUGGUCACUAAACAGCAGAAACAAUAUGACUUCUUUUUGCACAACGGAUCUCCUUUUUCAUAGACGCAUAAUCCAGAAGGUAAAUUGAUCUUUUCAUUUUCUUGACCUUCCAUGAUUUGGCCUACAGAAUACAUGAAAUCAUUAAUGUAUUCAAAAGCAAUUGUUUGAUGAGCUACAAAGAAACGACCAAAAUCAUAGACAAAAUUCUCUGACUUGGGAAUCUGUAAGCACCUCUAGAUUCAACCACAACAUAUGUACUAUAUUUUAUCAUAGAAAAAGUAUUCACAAAAAUAAUAAAGUGUAUUUUCUAAUACUAGUCGUUGGUUUAUAGCCACUUACACUGUAUGGAUCACAGAGUACAUGAGAAAUCCACAGAUUAUGGUAAAUGCAGAGAAGGAGUUCAUGUACUUUUCCAUCUAAUUAGCGCAGUGCAAUGGUAGGUGCUUUAGUAGUGUUCCUCACGGUAGUUAGAGUAUGUUUUCUUCUUACAAGCAACAAUGGAAGAUGUUUGGUGUGUCCUAGCACCAUCCUUAUAUAUACAUACAUAUCGCUACAAAAAUGGACAAACAUAAAAUUUAAAUAGGAACAUAUAAGUGAAUGUUUUAAUUCUUUGCACCACAUCCCAAAUUUAGUAUCUAUAUUUGGAAAACAGCGUAAAUAUGGGUGGCAGUUUAACAUGCUAAAUAUUUCUCUUAUUAAUGACAUACCAAAUCUGGAAGAGUAUAUCUUCUAUAACUAACGGUUUCCUAUAAAUCUUCCGUUUAACACGCUAUAGGACGGCCCACACAACACGCUAUACAUUAUGUAGGUGCCGCACAUUAUAUAUAUAUUCAAAAUUUCAUUUCUGAACCCUUUAUAGGAUUUUACUACUGCCAACGUCCUGCCAUAAAUGGACGCAACUAACUUGCAUAAUCACCAGCAGCGUCCAUGCAAAAGUCCAACGCUGCAACUGUGUGAUCAUUAGCGGCGUCCAGGAAAAAAAACGUUGCAAGCAAUGUACAUGAGGGCAGAGGCUGCGUUAUAAACAUCUGGCAGCGUGCGGGCACGUCACACGCCAUCAAUUUCACCUAUUGUAGCAGCAUGCGGGGAAGAUGGGCACGCGGCUACUAUCAUAUCUUACACCAUGUGUACGGCCGAUCAUGUCGGUCUUUAAACUUUGCGGCGUGUAGCCCGAGCGAACGAUGCUAACUUUUACAAUCUUGUAGCGUUUUAGUUGGGCCAAACGCUGCGAAGGGUUGCGCCCAACAAUUGAUCACCCUUUCUUAUAAAUUAAAUCCCCUAGAAAAAUGCAAAACAACAGUCCAUUAUAGAAGGCGUUUAAACAGAAAAAUUAUAUAACUUAGUAGCAGCGUGUACAUAUGUUAUUUUAAUUUCUUAAAAUGCAAAUGAAGUCCCAAAAAAUAUGAAACUUGGUACACUGUAAUGAUAUGACACCUAGAGGCUAUGGUAAUUCUUUUUAGAGAUUACACAAAAAUUAUCACGUAAAGUACUUAGAAAACGCGCCAUCUCGAACGAAGAAUUUGUGGUUUCGAGAGGGAACCGAUCAAGUUUAAGGGGAAAUCGUCGCCUUUGUCGGUUGGUUUGGAAACUUCUUUUGUAAGUCAUAGCAAAUUUUAGAUUUUUUAAUUAGUACUAUAAUUUACUUAAAAAACAAAAAAAACUGGAAGAACAAACUAGCAGCGUGCUUACGUAGUCACACUCUGCUAGUGACAGUAUCACUAGCAGCGUUCGAGCAUCCUGACACGCUGUUAAUUUUGUCUCCAAAAUAGUGCUUGUCUGCAAAACAGUGGCCGGUCCUCCACUUAUCCUCUCAAUCCCACCUCGUCCUCCUCUUCCUCCUACGCCGCGCCAUCGCUCCUCCUAAACCACAUCCACCUUCAACCUCGUUGAUGCGGCGGCUGCCGCCCAUGUCCCCGUUGGACCCUUCUCUCGCAUCGCGCCGAUGCCGCUACUGGACCCUCCUCUUGCACUGCCGCGGGCUGGCUGCUGCGACGGUGAGCAUCACAACAAAGGAGUCGUGUGUGGGGUGCCUUCUGCUGCUGGUGAAUGGGACGAUAAACACCGACGCUCCUCUUCUUCCUCGAUCCGCUCAUCGCCUAGUCGUGCGCCCGGUGAGAUGACGACCCUUCCUCCCUUUCUAUUUUCCUUGCAGUGUUCUGAUUUCCUGUCUGGAUUAAGAGGCAUUGGUUAACUUAGUAUUGAACUCAUGCUCCAGCCAACUCAUCCAAAAGUCCGAACUGAUGAAGAUGGGUGGGGAAUAUAUUUCAACAGACCCACCGUUUGCACCCAACCCCGCAUCACGGGCAACACGUACCAUCCGAGUAAUUGAGUUUGUUCCGACACUUUUUUGACCAACAUGCCGCAUCCAAACUUUACAAAUGACAACGAGGCUGCAACGGUGCACAACAGGUAAAGAUGCCGUUAUGGAAGGUGAUGCCAUGUCGUCUUACGCAUUGCUUCCCGCUCGCUACGACGCUUCACCAACAACAUCUUUGCCAUCGACCUCGGCAUCAACAUCCUGUUGUUCUCCAGACUCCAGGGCACCACUUGCAAGAGAUCUAGCGAGGCCAUGAACAUGCAGUAGAAAAAGGCAAGGAUGCGUGUUCAUCUGUUAACAACAUCACCUGUUGAAUAUAUGAGUAAAUUACUACAAAAUUUAAUUCGAACAAACAGUAAAUAAAUCAUGACGACGAAAACAGAGUGUGACGCCCCCUAUUCAAUCGUACAUUAAUCAUACACGCAAACGUGUACGAUCAAGAUCAGGGACUCACGGGAAGAUAUCACAACACAACUCUAGACACAAAUAAAAUAAUACAAGCUUUAUAUUACAAGCCAGGGGCCUCGAGGGCUCGAAUACAUAGCUUGAUGCACAAGAGUCAGCGGAAGCAACAAUAUCUGAGUAUAGACAUAAGGUUAGACAAGACUGCCUUAGAAGGCUAGCACAAACAUCAACGGUCGAAGAGGCAAGGCCUCCUGCCUGGGACCUCCUAACUACUCCUAGUCUUCGGCGGCCUCCAUGUAGUAGUAUCCGUCGGCGGUGGCAUCUGGCUCCAGGGAUCCGCCAUCUGGUUGCAUCAACCGGAAAGAAGGAGGAAGGGGGGAAAGGGGUAGCAAAGCAACCGUGAGUACUCAUCCAAAGUACUCGCAAGCAUCAGAUCUAUACUAAGUAUGCAUUGGUAUCAUAUGGAAGGGUUAUAUAUGUGGACUGAACUGCAGAAUGCCAGAAUAGAGGGAAAGGCCUAGCCUAUAAAAGACUAGCAUCUUCAAGCAGCUCCAAGCAUCUUGCAGCAUGUAGAAGAGUAAACAAUAGCAGAUUAUAUUUAACAAACAUGUUGUAGCAUUAAUGCCCAGAGAUCCUUCCUCGACUCCCUGCGAUAAAGCAAUCCCGGGGCCACAUAUCUCAAGUAUCCAUUUCUAGUUGUAAAAGAUCAGAAUAUAAGUCUGAACGUCCGUUACCGUGGACACGACUAUUAAUAGAAAAUCUUCCCUGCAGGGGUGCACCACGUUUUCCAACACGCUUGAUUACUCUGGACGGACACACUUUUCUGGGUCAAUGCCCAGCCUCGGAAAAUCAACGUUGUAGCCCUACCUAGGCUCAGCAGAGAGGUCCCCGCCGGUCUACAUCCUAAGCACUCCGGGGUCUGGGCCCAUUGCCCGUUGCACUCCGGGUCGUUGUGCGCAAGGGGAUACUAGAACCACCUCUGCCUAGAUGGCGCGAUCCGGCCCGGCCACAAUGCUGAACUGGACGUCUAACAAAGCUUCGGCUGAUACUACGAUGCCGAGGCCCAUAACUAUUCUCGCGUGGUGGUUAGUUCGUAAAGGCCAGAGGCCAACUCAUAACAAAUACCCAAACCAUAGUGUAUUAUUAGCUUUUGGAGACGAGCAGAGACUCAUGAUAAUGUGACCCCGUCGCCCCGUCUCGAGGAAAUACGGCAAGGGCUAGCCCAGCCCACUCGGGGGCGGCCUGCCUGCCCGGCCGUGCCUCGUAACCAUCUUGCGGGUGCUCUCCGGGCCCGCCCGACUUUCCCAAAGGUCUCAAGUAAAGUUAGGGUAACCGUGUGUCCAAACAUCAAGGGGAAAACCCGCGGAAUCACCCCUGGUGAAUUCCACUUGAUGUAAUCAUCAAGGUGAACGUAAGAGGAACCACCCUCGAGGUUCACACUUGAGGGGUUGCACGAGAGAGCCGUAUCGGGAGUGCUGAAGGAGGAACCACCCUCAUUGACCACGACCAAAUAGCUACACUACAGAGUUGUCAUCGGGAGUGCGUUCUGAGGUCUCACCCUCGUCACUCGAUAAUAGCUCUACAGAGUCGGGCAACAAAAGGGGCGUGAUGUGAUGUGAGGUGUCGGGCUCUGGUCGUCGAUCACGUUGAUCGAGUCGUCGAUGAUGAAGCAGGGGCAACAAGGACAAGGUGGGGGUCACAGAUGGAUCACUAACCAACCUAUACUAAGAAGUUUAGGAUAAGCAGGUAAGGUACAAUGAGCAGGUUACAAAAGCAGGCUAUGCAUCAGAAUAGGAGCAAUCAAUUACAGUAGCAAAAUCUAAUGCAAGCAUGAAAGAAUGGAAUGGGCGAUAUCGGGAUGAUCAAAGGGGGGGCUUGCCUGGAAGUUCCGCUGAAAGGGAAGAAGGCUCGUCGGUGACGUAGUCGAUCACAGGGGCAUCGGCAUCGGUCUCGGGGUCUACCGGAGAGAAGAGGGGGAAGAAAUAGUAAAUACAGAGCAAACAUAUACAUGACAAGCAAUAAGCAGCGCUAGGGGUGUUCUAACGCGACACUACACGAUACUGGCAAAGGGAGGAAACAUCCGGGAAAGUUUUCCCGAAGUUUGGCAUUUUCAGACAGAUGAAACGGAGGGGGACGGUUGCAGGUUUGCUAUGCUAGGGACGUGUGGCAGACGAACAGGCUGCAUACUCAGAUUCGUCUCAAAAUUCUGAGCAACUUUAAUGUAGAAAACUUUUUCAUCCGAGUUACUGAUUAUUUCCUAUGUUUUUCAAAGAUUUAACAAUAUUUUGGAUUUAUUAUUAAUUUGAAAAUAAAUGCUAAAAUGCUAGGGACACCCAGCACAGGGUACACAAAAGUGCACCCAGUGGCUGACAGGUGGGCCAGGGGGUCCCAGUUGACCAGUCAAUGUUUGACUAGUCAAUAGGGUGUGGGGCCCCCUGUCUUACACACAACAGCUAACCUAACAGUUUAAUUAGACUAGUUAUGUAAUUAAGCUAAUUAAACAGAGUUAAUUAAGUUAAUUAACUUAUUAAUUAAUUAAUUAACUAUUAUUCUUUAACCCUUUUUAAAAUAACAGGGGCGUGGGGCCCCCUAGUCAGUGGGUCGGGGGGGCUUAGCGGGCGACGGGCUAACGAGGCUGCGGGCGGGGGUGUGGGCGCCCGCCUGAACACGCACGGGCGUACAGGAGCGACUGGGCGGCGGCGCCGGAUGCUAGAGGAGGCCGCGGGCGCGACGUCUGGGGCGGCGCGACGAGCGACGGGGCCGCUGAGCUGGAGCGGGGCGAGGUCAAGGCGCGGGCGAGCGGGUGCGUGCCGGCGAGGGCGGUCGCCGACGGCGGGCGCAGGAUGCAGGCCCAUUGGUGGCGUGGUGGGACUGCGACGCGACCCGUGUGGGCAUAGGCGGCGGCAGUGGCAAAAGGGGGGUCCGCGACGGCCAGAGCCAGCAGGCCAGGGGAGGCACCCGGGACGCGGGCAAGGCACGACGACUACGGCGUCCGGCAGUGAAGGAGAGGGGAAGGGGAAGAGGGCUCACGAGGCCUUGUAGAUGUGCUAAAGUGAGCUCGGGGCAGCGGUGGUCGACGAUGGGGACGGCGACGACGCGAUGGAGCCGCUGGGGAGGAGGACGGGGACGAUCCGGUGAAGUCGGGGAGGCGGUCGGGCGAGGGGGGCUCCACGCGGCGGCGGUUGUCGGGUGACGAGAGAGCGUCGGGGCGCAGCGGGGUCGAUGCGCGGCCAGCGGGCGCCAGGCGUAGGGACGUCAGCGGGGUCGGGCGCUCCGCCGAGAUCCAGACGGGAGGAGGAGAAUGGGAUCGUGGGAGUGGGGAACGUGGGGGAGUGAGGGGGUCGUGCGGGGGAAAAGAUCCCAGGGAGCUGACGAGGAGAGGGGGGACUCGGUCUUAUGCCCACGCGGCAUGGGCUGGUAGGCCAGCUGGGCCAGUUGGCCCAGUGGGGGGAGGUCUUUUUUUGUUUUGCCUUUUUUUUGGUUGUUUCUCCUUGUUCUUUUAUUUACUUUUGUUGUUUAAUUUAAUUUUGAAUAUUGAAAUCGAACGUGAUUGAAUCAUCACGAGGUUAACAACAGUAAUUGCGGUGACGUGGCAUCAUUAGCAUGGGAUUACUGUAGCAUAAUUAUCCGGGUGUUACAAUUCUCCUCCACUACAAGAGAUCUCGUCCCGAGAUUUAGGAGGCAGAAGGAAAAAGUUUGGGGUAUUCAUCAGGAAGGCGAUCCUCGCGUUCCCAAGUGGCUUCGUCUUCAGAGUGAUGCGACCACUGGACCUUGAGGAACUUGAUCGCCUUCUGACGUGUGCGGCGUUCAGCUUGGUCGAGAAUGCGGACCAGAUGCUCUUUAUAGCAGAGGUCCUAUUGCAACUCGAGCACUUCAUGAUUCACUGCUCGGAUUGGGUCCUUGAAGCAGCGGCGGAGUUGUGACACGUGGAACACAUCGUGAACCUGAGAAAAGUUCGACGGUAGUUCCAACUGGUAUGCCACUUUUCCACGCCUUUCGAGAAUAGUGAAUGGACCAAUAUAGUGAGGAGCUAGCUUGCCCUUGAUCCCGAAGCGGUGUGCACCCUUCAUUGGUGUGACCCGAAGAUAAGCCUUUUCACCAGGUUGAUGGACCAUGUCUUUGUGAUGACAGUCAUACUGAGUUUUCUGACGUGACUGAGCAGUCUAGAGAUUCUCGCGAAUAAUGCGGACUUGUUCUUCGGCGUGUUGGAUAAUAUCCGGACCGAAGAGUGGACGUUCCCCAGUUUCUGACCAGUUCAGAGGGGUUCGACACUUUCGUCCAUAUAACACUUCGAAGGGGGGCCAUCUUCGGACUAGCUUAAUAGUUAUUGUUGUAGGAGAACUCAGCAUACGGGAGAGAUUCCUCCCAUUUCUUGCCGAAGGAAAUAACACAAGCUCGAAGCAUGUCUUCGAGAACUUGAUUGACACGUUCAACUUGUCCCUGCGACUGAGGUUGAAAAGCAGUGCUGAAAGACAGAUGAGUUCCCAUAGCUUGUUGGAAACUUGCCCAGAAUCUUGAAGUGAAUAAGCUGCCACGGCCUAAGCUGAUUUCCAGCGGACUACCGUGAAGUGAAACAAUUCUGGACAUAUAGAGAGUUGCCAACUGACUAGCAGUGAUGGUUUCUUUGACGGCCAGAAUGUGUGCAACUUUAGAAAGCCGGUCAAUGACGACAAGAAUAGCAUCAUUACCUUUCUGUGAUUUGGGAAAACCGGUGACAAAGUCCAUUCCGAUUUCCAUUCAGGAAUAGAGAUAGGUUGCAGAGUUCCAGCAGGCCUUUGAUGUUCUGAUUUUAUACGACGGCAAACAUCACAUUCAGCAACAUAACGAGCAAUGUCCUGCUUCAUAUUUGACCACCAGAAUCUCUGACGAAUGUCUUGGUACUACCGGGAUGAAUAGACAACGGAGUGUCAUGAGCUUCUCUCAUAACUUCCCGAGUCAUAUCCAGGUUGUCUUUUGAAGGAACCACUAGGCGACCUUUAAAGAACAAGGUGCUAUCAUCUUCAAGAGUGAAGAACGAGGGCCUUCCUUCUGCGAGGUAGCACUUAAUCUUCUUAACUUGAGAGUCAUACUUCUGUAGUCUCUUGAUGCUCUCCACGAGAUCUGGUUCGACAACCAGGGUAUUGAGGGAACCCUGAGGAACAACACGGAGGUUCAUCUUGCGGAACUCUGGAGGAGGGGGAGCGAGUGCACCAGGUGGAACAAUAUGGAGGUUCAGCUUUUUGAAUUCUUCAAGAAGCGAGGGCUGAACUUUGUGAACCUGGAGGCGGUUGCAAUAGGACUUGCGGCUCAAGGCAUCAGCCAUUACAUUAGCCUUACCUGGUGUAUAAGAAAAACCCAAGUCAAAAUCUGCUACGGUCUCCAUCCAUCUCUGCUGACGGAGGUUCAGGUCUGGCUGGGUAAAUAGGUACUUCAGACUUUGGUGGUCGGUGAAGAUCUCGCAACGAUUACCAAGAAGGAAAUAUCGCCACUACUUCAGUGCAAAUUUAACUGCAGGAAGAUCAAGGUCAUGGACUGGGUAGUUCUUUUGGAAAGGCUUGGAAUUCACAAACGGCUGGAGACUUUUCAAUUCCCACAAGAGGAGAAGCGUUUACGCGUUCAAGGAAUAAAUCCAUGUUUCGGCAUUAUGAACAAGAUGAGCAUGGUAGCUUACUAUCUCACUCGAAGGAUGUAGUAGAUGGAAGGUUUUAGCGACGCAAAUGAUAGAAGCGGUAUGUGUUUCAACCAUUCCAUUCCCAGAAUGAGGUCGAUAUUGGAAGACUUCAAAGCAAUGGGGGAAACAUGGAAUUCCAGCCCUUCAAUUUCAAAGGGGAUGUUGGGACUAACCCUGGUGGUUCGACAUUGGCCCGCAGAAUGCAGCUUGGAAUUCUGGCCAAGUAAUGGCGGUUCCAACAGGUAAGGAACGACUGUGGCUGUCCUACCAUUGAGCAGCAGGACCUUUCAGGUAGUAAGCCGCGAAGGUGGCAUAGUUGGAAGGGGCUAUAUCAGCAAACUCUAACUCGAAAGUGAUGUCAUAGAGCCAGUUACAGCAUGAAGUGGCUGAGACGAGUUGCGGUAGAUGACAGGGUUGAGACGCGCAAAGACUUACAGAGUUACUGGGGUUGGCUGCUGAUUCAUAUUGGGGUGCGGAAACUGAGCCAUGACUCAUACCAUGAACUGGCGAUUCAACAUCAAACUGUUGUAUCAUUCCGGCCAUGUAUUCUGGAGGUGGUGGAUUGUUGGGACCACGGCCACAUCCAGCGGGUCUAACCCGCCCUGCUUAAAUGCGACAAGGACGGGGUAGUUCAGCAAGGGUUUGUGCAAGUGUAUAGAGUCAUUCAUGACGUAUCUUGGACAACGAGCAAAGGCAUUGUAUGUACAAAGCCGUAGUCAUUGAAGACAUACAUAUAAAAAUGUAGAGCCAAUUACACGUUGUUCGUAUGAGUUCGGACAAGAGAAGAACCUUAGACAUACUAGGCGGCACGUAUGCACGCGAUGGAGGGAUACAAUAGCGGGACAUAGCAAAGGCUACAUCAACGUCAGGGAAAACCUCUGGAACGAGGGAUUUGAAAGUGACAAUGCAGGGUGCCCUCGAUAAGAGGAUCCUGCGGUCAAUGAACAUUAUGAAGCAGAUAUUGGCCCUUAAUUCGAGAAAGGCGUAAUACAAAUCUCCGGAUGGAUGUGAUCACGAGAACCUAAUGUUAGACUUAGCAAAAUCAUUUAACCCGAAUAAAAGAGAGAUCAGAGUCCCAGAGUAUAAACGAGGAGUAAAAGAUCCUAAUACCACCCAAUGGCGACGUGGGCCCGUAAGCCACACAGCCAUGUUAGUAAAUCAGUUAUUCAAAGACUAGAUUCAACUUCGGCCAAGGAGUUGGAAAUGGGGGUUCCUACAGGCAGUCGGCUCUGAUACCAACUUGUAACGCACCCGAUUCAAUCGUACAUUAAUCAUACACGCAAACGUGUACGAUCAAGAUCAGGGACUCACGGGAAGAUAUCACAACACAACUCUAGACACAAAUAAAAUAAUACAAGCUUUAUAUUACAAGCCAGGGGCCUCGAGGGCUCGAAUACAUAGCUUGAUGCACAAGAGUCAGCGGAAGCAACAAUAUCUGAGUAUAGACAUAAGGUUAGACAAGACUGCCUUAGAAGGCUAGCACAAACAUCAACGGUCGAAGAGGCAAGGCCUCCUGCCUGGGACCUCCUAACUACUCCUAGUCUUCGGCGGCCUCCAUGUAGUAGUAUCCGUCGGCGGUGGCAUCUGGCUCCAGGGAUCCACCAUCUGGUUGCAUCAACCGGAAAGAAGGAGGAAGGGGGGAAAGGGGUAGCAAAGCAACCGUGAGUACUCAUCCAAAGUACUCGCAAGCAUCAGAUCUAUACUAAGUAUGCAUUGGUAUCAAAUGGAAGGGUUAUAUAUGUGGACUGAACUGCAGAAUGCCAGAAUAGAGGGAAAGGCCUAGCCUAUAAAAGACUAGCAUCUUCAAGCAGCUCCAAGCAUCUUGCAGCAUGUAGAAGAGUAAACAAUAGCAGAUUAUAUUUAACAAACAUGUUGUAGCAUUAAUGCCCAGAGAUCCUUCCUCGACUCCCUGCGAGAAAGCAAUCCCGGGGCCACAUAUCUCAAGUAUCCAUUUCUAGUUGUAAAAGAUCAGGAUAUAAGUCUGAACGUCCGUUACCGUGGACACGACUAUUAAUAGAAAAUCUUCCCUGCAAGGGUGCACCACAUUUUCCAACACGCUUGAUUACUCUGGCCAGACACACUUUUCUGGGUGAAUGCCCAGCCUCAGAAAAUCAACACGUCGUAGCCCUACCUAGGCUCAGCAGAGAGGUCCCCGCCGGUCUACAUCCUAAGCACUCCGGGGUCUGGGCCCAUCGCCCGUUGCACUUCGGGUCUUUGUGCGCAAGGGGAUACUAGCACCACCUCUGCCUGGAUGGCGCGAUCUGGCCCGGCCACAAUGCUGAACUGGACGUCUGACAAAGCUUCAGCUGAUACUACGAUGCCGGGGCCCAUAACUAUUCUCGUGUGGUGGUUACUACGUAAAGGCCAGAGGCCAACUCUGAACAAAUACCCAAACCAUAGUGUAUUAUUAGCUUGCGGAGACGAGCAGAGACUCACGAUAAUGUGACCCCGUCGCCCCGUCUCGAGGAAAUACGGCAAGGGCUGGCCCAGCCCACUCGGGGGCGGCCUGCCUGCCCGGCCGUGCCUCGUAACCAUCUUGCGGGUGCUCUCCGGGCCCGCCCGACAUUCCCAAAGGUCUCAAGUAAAGUCCGAGUAACCGUGUGUCCAAACAUCAAGGGGAAACCCCGAGGAAUCACCCCCGGUGAAUUCCACUCGAUGUAAUCAUCAAGGUGAACGUAAGAGGAACCACCUUCGAGGUUCACACUUGAGGUGUUGCACGACAGAGCCGUAUCGGGAGUGGUGAAGGACGAACCACCCACAUUGACCACGACCAAAUAGCUACACUACAAAGUUGUCAUCGGGAGUGCGUUGUGAGGUCUCACCCUCGGCACUCGAUAAUAGCUCUACAGAGUCGGGCAACAAAAGGGGCAUGAUGUGAUGUGUGGUGUCGGGCUCUGGUCGUCGAUCACGUUGAUCGAGUCGUCGAUGAUGAAGCAGGGGCAACAAGGACAAGGUGGGGGUCACAGAUGGAUCACUAACCAACCUAUACUAAGCAGUUUAGGAUAAGCAGGUAAGGUACAAUGAGCAGGUUACAAAAGCAGGCUAUGCAUCAGAAUAGGAGCAAUCAAUUACAGUAGCAAAAUCUAAUGCAAGCAUGAGAGAAUGGAAUGGGCGAUAUCCGGAUGACCAAAGGGGGGCUUGCCUGGAAGCUCCGCUGAAAGGGAAGAAGGGUCGUCGGUGACGUAGUCGAUCACAGGGGCAUCGGCAUUGGUCUCGGGGUCUACCGAAGAGAAGAGGGGGAGAAAUAGUAAAUACAGAGCAAACAUAUACAUGACAAGCAAUAAGCAGCGCUAGGGGUGUUCUAACACGGCACUACACGAUACUGGCAAAGGGAGGAAAUAUCCGGAAAAGUUUUCCCGAAGUUUGGCAUUUUCGAACAGAUGAAACGGAGGGGGACGGUUGCAGGUUUGCUAUGCUAGGGACGUGUGGUAGACGAACGGGCUGCAUACUCAGAUUCGUCUCGAAAUUCUGAGCAACUUUCAUGUAGAAAACUUUUUCAUCCGAGUUGCUGAUUAUUUCCUAUGAUUUUUCAAAGAUUUAACAAUAUUUUGAAUUUAUUAUUAUUUUGAAAAUAAAUGCUAAAAUGCUAGGGACACCCAGCACAGGGUACACAAAAGUGCACCGAGUGGCUGACAGGUGGGCCAGGGGGUCCCAGUUGACCAGUAGGGUGUGGGGCCCCUGUCGUACACACAAAAACUAACCUAACAGUUUAAUUAGACUAGUUAUGUAAUUAAGCUAAUUAAACAUAGUUAAUUAAGUUAAUUAACUUAUUAACUAAUUAAUUUAUUAACUAUUAUUUUUUAACCCUUUUUUAAAUAACAGGGGCGUGGGGCCCCUGGUCAGUGGGUCGGGGGGGCUUAGCGGGCGACAGGCUAACGAGGUUGCGGGCGGGGGUGUGGGCGCCCGCCCCCGCCUGAACACGCACGGGCGUACGGGCGCGACUGGGUGGCGGCGCUGGAUGCCAGAGGAGGCCGCGGGCGCAACGUCCGGGGCGGCGCGACGAGCGGCGGGGCCGCUGAGCUGGAGCGGGGCGAGGUCAAGGCGCGGGCGAGCGGGCGCAUGACGACGAGGGCGGUCGCCAACGGCGGGCGCGGGAUGCAGGCCCAUCGGUGGCGCGGCGGGACUGCGACGCGACNNNNNNNNNNNNNNNNNNNNNNNNNNNNNNNNNNNNNNNNNNNNNNNNNNNNNNNNNNNNNNNNNNNNNNNNNNNNNNNNNNNNNNNNNNNNNNNNNNNNNNNNNNNNNNNNNNNNNNNNNNNNNNNNNNNNNNNNNNNNNNNNNNNNNNNNNNNNNNNNNNNNNNNNNNNNNNNNNNNNNNNNNNNNNNNNNNNNNNNNNNNNNNNNNNNNNNNNNNNNNNNNNNNNNNNNNNNNNNNNNNNNNNNNNNNNNNNNNNNNNNNNNNNNNNNNNNNNNNNNNNNNNNNNNNNNNNNNNNNNNNNNNNNNNNNNNNNNNNNNNNNNNNNNNNNNNNNNNNNNNNNNNNNNNNNNNNNNNNNNNNNNNNNNNNNNNNNNNNNNNNNNNNNNNNNNNNNNNNNNNNNNNNNNNNNAGCUCGGGCGGCGGUGGUCGACGACGGGGACGACGACGGCGCGAUAGAGCCGCUGGGGAGGAGGACGGGGACGAUGCGCGGCCAGCGGGCGCCAGGCGUAGGGACGUCAGCGGGGUCGGGCACUCCGCCCAGAUCCAGACGGGAGGAGGAGAAGGGUAUCGUGCGAGUGGGGAACGUGGGGGAGUGAGGGGGAUCGUGCGGGGGAAAAGAUCCCAGGGAGCUGACGUGGAGAGGGGGGACUCGGUCUUAUCCCCACGCGGCGUGGGCUGGUAGGUCAGCUGGGCUAGUUGGCCUAGUGGGGGUGAUCUUUUUUUGUUUUGCCUUUUUUGUUGUUGUUUCUCCUUGUUCUUUUAUUUACUUUUGUUGUUUGAUUUAAUUUUGAAUUUUGAAAUCGAACGUGAUUGAAUCAUCGCGAGGUUAACAACAGUAAUUGCGGUGAUGUGGCAUCAUUAGCAUGGGAUUACUGUAGCAUAAUUAUCCGGGCGUUACACAGGGAUUAAACUAAUCAUGCGGACUAGUAUAGUAGAUGAAGAGAUCAAAUCUAGGGCACAGAGUAGAACUAAGAAUUCUAGCACGAUCUCGAACAAGGAGGACAAGAUCACAUACAGUGCAGCGGGAGCAGGACCGCCAGCGUUGAUGUUGUCGCCCAUGUCGUUUAGGAAGAGGUUGCCGAGGUCGGGGAAGAAGUCGGCGGCGGCGAAGUCGUCGCUGCCAGCAGUCGCGCGAGUGCGCUCCCCAAAAACCUGAUCGCUCCUCUCCCAUACAGGAUCACAAGAGGUGGGGCUCCGGAGGCCUGCUGUCCCUUCUCGCGGUGCACUCCGAAAGGAGGGAUGGAGAAGACUUGCUUGGCAGCGCAAUGAUCUGGAACGGUGGUGCGAAACCAUGAGAAACGACGGUGGCUAGGGUAGACGUCUGCCUGACCAUAUAGUGCGGGCCGGGUAGGUCAUGCGAGUAAACCCCACGUCCGAGUCGUCGAGAUCCAAAAGAAUCGAAAACGGUUCAGUAAUUAACGCGUCUGUUGAUUAUUAACUAAUGACUCACUAAUUUUUCCCGAGCAGCAAAAAUAUAGACAAUGUGCAUAGCUCUGUCCUCGGCUCGGCUCAUUCCCGCAACCCGCGGCACGACGAGGCGUGGCGUGGCAUGGCGAGGAGGAGGAGCACGCGUGUAGGUCUCCUCUUCUCAUGCUCUUACAAGUGAUAGAAGAGCUCACCUUAUAAAGAGGUGCAACUCUCACUCAACUUCCGGGGUGGGACUAAACUUUAGUCUCACUCAUACCACUCACAAGCUAUGCAUGAAUGGGCCAAGAGAAUUUCAGAAUUUUAGUUGGGCUUUGGGCCAAAGGCCUACUAGCAAAUUCCAAGAAUCCCCCACAAAGUCUCAUUGGCACAUCUCAUCACUUAGUUCCAAAACAUUGUUUAUACACCGAUGCUUAGUGGAUAGUGUAAAGUUGAACUUCCCGUGAGAGGUUUAUGCUAGACUAGAUCGCAAUUUGAAUAGUGGACUAUGCCUUGAACUACAAGUUUUCUGCGAGACUAGUUUCACACAAAUUCUCGACCGAUACUGGGCUGCCGCAAGGCUUUCCCGUGGGUGGAGCGUAUACGUCAUAGGGCCUUUCAUGAAUUUAUUAGAGAACACCCAAUUCUCGCAGACUGGGACGUUAACAGUCAAAUUCAUAUAGGUGUGUUCCUCGGGAGAUGCUCUGCAGGACAACAUCUCUGCUUACUCAAAUAAGCCACUUGGAACACAUUAAGAUAACUAUCAACUUGCCAUGCAAAUCGGGAGAGUAUUGCAUCUUCAUGGAGUGGGAUAAUUGAAAUAGGGAUACUCUCGUCUCAGCUGACGAACAACUUGUCUCCCACUUCUACUUCACGGGAUCUCCGAUCACAUAGAGUGGGUUACCACUAUGGACAACUCAUGCGGUGGAUCUCAAACCCAUCUCCAUCGAUGCAUUAUCUAUCACAUUACGUGAUAAACCCUUUGUGAAGGGAUAUGUCAAGUUUUUCGACGUUUGGAUAUAAUCCAACGUAAUAACUCCGGAGUUCCUCAAUUUUCUGACAUAUUUUAGUCUCCUCUUCACAUGCCUUGAGGACUUCAUAUUAUCCUUAGAACUGUUUAUCUUGACGAUCACAGUUUGAUUAUCAGAGUUUAUCAUGAUAGGGGGUAUUGGUUUUUCAACCAUAGGUAAGUCCAUCAAGAGCUCACGAAACCACUCUGCUUCAACAGUGGCAGUGUCUAAUGCUGUGAGUUCUGCUUCCAUAGUUGACCUCAUUAAGAUGGUUUGCUUGCAAGACUUCCAGGAAACGGCGCCACCACCAAGUGUAAAAACGUAACCACUUGGGGCCUUAAUCUCAUCAGCAUCAGAUAUCCAAUUUGAGUCACUAUAACCCUCCAGUACCCUUGGAUACCCGGUGUAGUGAAUCCCAUAGCUCGCAGUGCCUUUCAAGUAGCGCAUAACUCUCUCAAGCGCAUGCCAAUGAUCAUCUCCCGGUUUUGACACAAACCGACUCAGCUUGCUCAGAGCAAAAGAGAUGUCAGGCCUCGUGGCACUCGCCAAAUACAUAAGCGAGCCAAUAAUCUGAGAAUACCUAAGUUGAUCUCUAGCCAUAUGUCGAUUCUUUCGAAGAAACACACUAGCAUCAUAUGGAGUUGGAGAAGGCGUGCAGUCGCUAUACCCAAAACGACUCAAGAUCUUUUCCACAUAGUGAGACUGAAGCAGUGUGAUCCCACCAUUCCCAUCUCUCGAUAGCUUGAUGUUUAAGAUAACAUCAACUACUCCUAGAUCCUUCAUCUCAAAACAGCGAGAUAAGAAAUCCUUAACCUCCUUGAUUAGAUCAAGUUUGGUUCCAAAGAUUAGUAUGUCAUCGACAUACAGACAAAGAAUAAAUCCUUCGCCCCCACCAUGGUGAUAGUACACACACUUGUCACCAUCGUUUACUACAAAGCCGGCAGCAGUUAAUGUUCUUUCGAACUUCUCAUGCCACUCCUUAGGAGCUUGUUUAAAGCCAUAUAAAGACUUUAAUAACUUGCACACCUUUCCUUCCUGACCAAGUACUACAAAACCAUCUGGCUGAUCCAUGUAAAUUUCCUCCUUCAACUCUCCAUUGAGAAAAGCCGUCUUAACGUCCAUUUGAUGAACGAGAAGACCAUGUGAGGCAGCCAGUGAUAGUAGCACCCGUAUAGUGCUCAGUCUAGCCACGGGUGAGUAAGUAUCAAAGAAGCCUUCACCUUCUUUCUGGGUAUAACCCUUGGCCACAAGCCGUGCCGUGUACUUUUAAAUCGUACCAUCAGGUCUAAGUUUCUUCUUGAACACCCACUUACACCCUACAGGUUUGCACCCAUAAGGACGGUCAGUGAUCUCCCAGGUUCCGUUAGCUAAGAUGGAAUCCAUCUCGCUACGAACAACUUCCUUCCAGUAGUCAGCAUCAGGAGAUGCAUAGGCUUCUGGUCCUGGGUGUGUCAUCCAUGAGGUACACAAUGAAGUCAUCACCAAAGGACUUUGCAGUCCUCUGUCUCUUACUCCUUACAGGAGUUUCAUUGUCACCCACAACAGGAUUCUCAACAUGUUCCAUCGCAAUCGUUGGUUCAGGAAUUACAUCGAAUUCCUCACUAGAUGGAGUAGGUAUCUCCUGAUUUGAUGAACUCGACAUAUCCUUCAUAGGAAAUAUGUCCUCAAAGAAAGUUGCAUCAUUCGACUCCAUAAUCGUACCAACAUGCAUGUCGGAUACCUCAGAUUUUAUUAUCAAAAAUCUAUAGCUAAUGCUAUGAAAAGCAUAGCCCAGAAGAACACAAUCCACGGUUUUUGGUCCAAGCUUGUGCUUCUUGGGAAUUGGUAUAUUGACUUUCGCCAAACAACCCCAGGAACAUAGGUAAGAGAGUUUCAACCUUUUCAUUUCCCAUUCCUCAAACGGAGUCAUGGUCUUAUGCUUUGUGGGAACUCGAUUUAGGACAUGACAUGCAGUCAUUAGCGCCUCCCCCCACCAUUCCUUGGAAAGACUCGAUGUGUCUAACAUGGCGUUAACCAAAUCAGUUAGAGUUCGGUUCUUUCUUUCGGCCACUCCAUUAGACUGAGGUGAGUAGGGAGGCGUCCUCUCAUGGAUUAUACCAUGUUCCACACAAAGCAAAUCAAAUUCAUUAGAAAAAUACUCUCCACCACGAUCAGACCUUAGCCGUUUAAUUUUUUGAUCAAGUUGGUUCUCCGCUUCAGCUUUAUAGUUUUUCAAGAAAGUUAAAGCCUCAUCUUUUGAUUUCAGAAGAUACCCAUAACAAUAUCUAGUGGAGUCACCAAUCCACGUCAUGAAGUAUCUCUUUCCACCUUUUGUCAACAAGUCAUUCAUCUCAUAAAGAUUAGAAUGUAUAAGCUCUAGUGGCGCCAAGUCUCUUGCCUGUGCAGUCUUAUGGGACUUGCGAGGUUGCUUAGCUUGCACACAUACGUCGCAUUUGGAGCCUUUGACAGUAGGGAUUUUCGGAAUUAAUUUCAUAUUGGCUAGCCGCAUCAUGCAGCCAAAGUUAAUAUGACAAAGUCAUGAAUGCCAAAUAUUAGACUCAUUAUUGUGGCAAACAUUAUUAAUAACUUUAGUGCAAAUAUCUGACAAAGAUAGGCGGAACAAGCCUCCGCACUCAUAGCCUUUUUCAACAAAUUUUCCACACUUGGAAAUUACAACUUUAUUGGACUUAAAAACCAACUUAAAACCAUCUCGACAUAAACGAGAACCGCUGCCGAGAUUCUUAUUGAUGGACGGCACAUGAUGAACUUUCUUCAGAUGCACGGUCUUCCCCGAAGUAAACUUCAGAUCAACCAUACCGACACCUCGAACAAUGGCAUGUGACCCAUUCCCCAUCAGCGCGGGAGAAGUCCCUGUGGCCUGGUAAGAACAAAACAUGGAGGCGUCAGCACAAACAUGUACAUUGGCACUGGUGUCAAUUAACCAAUCAAGAGAUUGAAAUACUGAAAGGAUGGUAGGAAGAAUACCGUACCUAGCUUUCUUCAUAUCAGUAUCACCGAUGACAACAUUAGCGGACUUGCCACUCUUCUCAUGUUCACGCUCCUCAAAGCGGUUAGGAUAUUUUGGAGGCCGGUGAUUAGGGUCACCAUAGACAUGGCAAAGUCCCUUCCCCUUCUUAUGAGAAUUCUUUUUGAAGUUGGUAGAAUGUGACGGCUUGUUCUUUGCAUCAAACUUGCCUUUGCCCUGAGUUUUUUUCUUGUUAUUUUUGAACUUGUUGGGCUGGAAGUUCUUCUUUUAUACCAUGUGGGCACUAGAAGCUCCCUCAUCAACUCGAGCACGUGUGUCUUUUGCUCUCGCCUUCUCUUCAACAUCAAGAGUACCAAUGAGAUCCGCACUGGAAAACUCCUGUCUCUUGUGUUUCAGGGAAGUAGCAAAAUUGUUCCACGAAGGUGGAACCUUGGCAAUGAUGCCUCCGGCAACACACACUUGAAGUACUCGAGUUCCUUCGCGAGCGACUGUAUCUCAUGAGCUUGCUGGACAACAGAACGCUCAUCGGUCAUCUUGUAGUCAUAGAAUUGCUCCAUGACGUACAACUCACUGCCGGCGUCCGAGGCCCCAAACUUGGCCUCGAACGCAGCCCACGUGUCCUUGCCGUUGUCAAACAACAUAUACGAAUCCACAAUGGAAUCAUCAAGAACACUCAGAAGGGCGCCUUUAAAGGGGGUAUCGAUCUUCUCAAAAGCUUCCUAUUGUGCAGGAUUAAGAUCGCCCUCGGGCUUGCCCUUGGUGGCGUCAUACCAGUACAUGGUCUGGAACCAGUAAACUGCUCUCAUACGCGACCUCUUAUAUUGCACCCCCUUAAAGGUAGGCGGCUUCAGAUGCGCAGCAAAACCACUCGAACUAAAUUGCCUAUAAUCAGGUUUUUGGAUUGUUGAAUAUAUAUGAGCAAAUUACUACGAGAUUUAAUCCGAACAUAUAGUAAAUAAAUCAUGACGAUGAAAACAGAGAUUAAACUAAUCAUGCGGACUAGCAUAGCAGAUGAAGAGAUCAAAUAUAGGGCACAUACUAGAACUAAGAAUUCUAGCACGAUCUGGAACAAGGACAAGAUCACAUGCGGUGCAGCGGGAGUAGGACCGCCAGCGUUGAUGUUGCCGCCCAUGUCGUUGAGGAAGAGGUUGCCGAGGUCGGGGAAGAAAUCGUCGUCGGCGAAGUCAUCGCUGCCAGCAGUCGCGCGAGUGCGCUCCCCAAAAACCUGAUCGCCCCUCUCCCGUACAGGAUCAUAAGAGGCGGGGUUCCGGAGGCCUGCUGUCCCUUCUCGCGGUGCAUGCCGAAAGGAGGGAUGGAGAAGACUUGCUUGGCGGUGCAAUGAUCUGGAACGGUGGUGCGAAACCAUGCGAUACGGCGGCGGCUAGGGUAGAUGUCUGUCUGACUAUAUAGUGCGGGCCGGGUAGGUCGUGGGAGUAAACCCCACGUCCGAGUCGUCGCGAUCCAAAAGAACUGAAAACGGUUCAGUAAUUAACGCGUUCGUUAAUUAUUAAUUAAUGACUCAUUAAUUUUUUUCGAGCAGCAAAAAUAUAGACAACGUGCAUAGCUCUGUCCUCGGCUCAGCUCAUUCCCGCCGCGGCGCGACGAGGCGAGGAGGAGGAGCGCGCGUGUAAGUCUCCUCUUCUCAUGCUCUUACAAGUGAUAGAAGAGCUCACCUUAUAAAAAGGUGCAACUCUCACUCAACUUCCGGGGUGGGACUAAACUUUAGUCCCACUCACACUACUCACAAGCUAUGUAUGAAUGAACCAAGAGAAUUUCAGAAUUUUAGCUGGGCUUUGGGCCGAAAACCUACUAGCAAAUUCCAACAUCACCUUCACUAUCACUCGUCGAUAGGUCGACGCUUUUGAAUGUCGAGUGGGGUGAACCAUGAGACACUCUUGAUUGUAAUACACGAUAACGGGGCUAUCUAGUAUAUGAGGAUGUUCAUGCCAUCCACAACGGUGCGGAAGGGGUUUACUACGCUUUAUUUGAAUUCAAUAGUAGGUUUCAUAAAGAUGGCAUCUGGAGCGGUAAGCAGCUACAAAUGGUGCCCCACAUUAUUCAAAGUCGAUCAUCUUAGUCUUGAUAUCUGCAUUAAUAACCGAGCUAGUUCCCAUAUACUAACCGUAGCCGCACAAUCAGUCACUACAAGGAUCUCUUGAAGGUUCAGAUGAGAAGCAACGCUAGGGCAUCACUAAAAGCCAUCGCCUCGAGGAUCUUCGAUUGUGCUUGGUCUAGGAAUGCAACCGCUGAAGCUCCCAAAAAAAGAACCAUUUCAUUCCGGCAGACCACAACCAGCGAUCCUUUACGAGAUUUCUAUUUGCCGCACUUUGCGGCAAAGUGUCGACGAAUCGCACAAGGAGGAUGCUACCAGCGAGCGAUUUGGGCCGGCCCAUCUUUAGCGCGUACCUACAGGUUCCGGUUUUGGGAUCCUUCUAGAGCGUUCCCAGCCAGUUCUUACUGGUUUUGGGAACCAUCUAGAAGGUUCCUGAACUGGUUUAUAAUUUUUUCUUUUCUUUUUCUUUUUUACUCUUUCUGUUUUUUUCUUCUUCCCUUUUCUGCUUCUUUUUUCUUUUGUUUUCGUAACUUUUUUGUUUUCUUUCAGUUUUCUUUUUCAAGUUAAUUUCUCUUUUCAACAAAUUUUCUUUCUUUCGUUUUUCAUUUAUUUUUAUUUUCUUCUCUUUUUCUCAAACUUUUUUCAAAAUAUUCAAGUUUUGUUCAUGUUUCCAUAAAAUGUCCAGCUUUCGAAAAAAAUGUUCUCAUUACACAAAAACGUUUAAAACUUUUGAAAUUCAGAAAAUGUACCGGAUUUCAAUUUCUGGUUCACGUAUUAAAAAAAUCACGCUUCCAAAUUUGUUAGGGAUUUUUCAAAUUUGUUCUCCAGAUUCAAGAAAUGUUCGUGCUUCGAAAUUUGUUCUCCGUUCUGAAAAUUGUUCUCAUGUUUCAAAAAAUGUUUGUGCUUUAAUUUUUUCAGAAAUUUCAAAACGUUCAUGUUUUCAAGAAAUAUUCAGUUUUUGAAAAAAAUAUUCUCAAAAUUCAAAAAUUGUUCUCAUUACACAAAAGAGUUCAAAAAUUUUGAAAUUCAGAAAAUGUACCAGAUUUCAAUUUUUUGUUCACGUAUUCAAAAACAUUCACGCCUCCAAAUUUGUUCAGGAUUUUUUUCAAAUUAAUCUCUGUUUCAAAAUUUGUUCUCAAAAUUCAUAAAAUGUCCGUGCUUUAAAAAAUUGUUCGCGCUUCGUAAUUUGUUCUCAAGAUUCAAAAAAUGUUUGUGCUUUAAAAAAUUGUUCACAAAUUCCAAAACCAUCAUGUUUUCAGUUUUUUUGGGGAAAUUCAAAAUUUGUUCGCGUGCAAAAGUUGUUCAUGUUUACAAAUUUUGUUUUGGAAUUUGAAAAAUGUUCCUGUUUUUGUAAAAUUGUUCCUGUUCAGUUUGUUGGGUAGCUUAGAAAAUGUUCCUGUUUAAAAAAUGUUUGAUUCUCCAAAAUUCAUUUGCAUGUUUAAAUAAGUUUGAGUUCUCUCAAAAUUCUUACCAAAUUUGAAAAAUGUUCCCGUUUGAUGAAACAUUCACGUUGUUUUUGAAAAAAAUAUCGUUCAAAUUUUAGAAACAUUCGGAUUGGCGUUUGAGUUUCUUAAGGUGUUGCGCUGUAAUGUAAUCAUUUAAGAUCACUAGCUCAAUUGGUUAGAGGCAUAUGCUCUCGAGCAGCCAGUCCUUGGUUCGAACCACGGAAACCCCUAUUUGACGCUUUCUGCGUCAAACAGUUGACCGACGCACAAGGGAUAGACCGAUCGUACAGGGUACGCGAUAAAGUGGGCCGUCCCAUCUCCCGCUGUACGAAGUUCCGGUUUUGGGAACUUUCAAGAAGUUUCCCAGACGGUUUUUAUCCGUUUCUAGAGGGUUCCUUAAGCGGGGUUUUUAUUUUCCUGUUAUUUUCUGUUUCUCUUUCCUUUUUCAGUUUUUUUCUGUUUUAUCUGUUUGGUUUCCUUUUUUCUUUUUUUUCUUUUUCCCUUUUAUUUCAAAUUAAGUCCGAGAACUCAAGUAUUGUUCAAAAUUCAAAAAAAAAAUCUUGUUUUUGAAAAUUGUUCAUCGUUUCAAAAUACUGUUCCAAAUCAAACAUUGUUCUCAUUUUUUCUAAAAUUGUUCUCAUUUUUUCAAAAAUUGUUCACAACUUCAAAAAAUGUUUCGCACUUUACAAAAAGUGUUUGGGAAUUUAAAAAAUGUUCCCAUUUUCAAUUUUUUGUUCACAAAUUUAAUAAUAUUUAUAUUUUUAGAUAAAGUGUGCAUUUGUCAAGAAUUUGUUUUAUUUUAAAAAAAUCUUUCUUAUUUUCAUAAAUUGUUCAUAGAUUCAAAAUAUGUUCUUAUUUUCAAAUUUUGUUGACAUCUGAAAAAAUGUUCAUUGUUUCAGAAAAAUUCCGGAGUUUCAAAAAAUUGUUCGUAUUUUCAAAAAUUGUUCAUAGAUUCAAAAAAUGUUCGUCUUUUAAAAAACAUUCACAUCUGAAAAUGUUCAUGUUUUCACUUUUUGUUCAGAGUUCCAAAAAAUGUUCGUGUUUCCACUUUUAUUCCUAAUUUCAGAAAAAUAAUUUCAUUUUUUAAAAAAAAUCACAAAAUCAAGAGAUGUUUGAUUUUCUAAAAUUUCGUUAGAUUUUUUUUAAUAUUUCACACGUCAAAAAGUAAUUAGUUCCUUAACUAAAUCGUGUUUGAAUUUUCAUUAGACAUUCAAUCUUACAAUACUGCCUUAUUAAAGCCAUGAGCUAGGAAUUUAACAGCAAGCCUCUUCAGGUGCGCUUGAUACUAGCCUGCGUGUAGUUUGUGUGGUCGUGGGUUCGAACCUGAUCGAGCGCAUUAAUUUUUGGAGUUUUCGGGUGCGCUCCCGCUGCUGGGCCGGCCCAGUUCGCUACUUCUGUGUGCGUCAAGACGCUACUCGCCGUAGAAUGCGGCGCAUAGGAGUUCCAUUUUUUAUUCCAGCGUUAUGUACUUGUCGCUAGCGAGAUAGGCCCACCAAGCCCGUGAAUGAGCAGCCCUAUGCGAGUGCCCAGCAAUUUGACGCAAAACGAAAAGUUUUCCCUCUAGUUAGGGUUUUGUUCCUCGGGGGGCGAUUUUCGCUACCGUCGAGACCUGUCCUUCCCCGCCCGCGAUUCCUCCCCAGCUGGUUCCCCUGGAUCGUAAGGGGCCGCUCGCACUGCUCCUGAUCGGAGGCGCUGGCUGUUGGGUGGAUUGGGGGCAUAGGGCAUCUGCAGAACCCGAUCGCUAAACUCGGGUUAGGGUUUCAACAUGGCGGCGGACGGAUCCCCGAUUCCAGAGGGGUCAGCGACGUUGAAAGAAUGAUGCAAGAGCUGGGCUUGAAGGAGGAAGACCUAGACGACGUGGUCUUCGACGAGAAGGACGCGCCGCAGGCGGCAGCUGGAUGGAUCGCUGUUGCUAGGGUUAACUCUAAUAAACCCUAUAGUCAGUUUUGGUUCUUUCGGAACAUGAGAGCGGCUUGGGACCUCGCGCAAGAAGCCAAGUUCAAGCCUCUAGAAGAGAAUCUCUAUACUAUCCAAUUUUCCUGCUUAGGGGAUUGGGAGAGGGUCAUGCAGGAGGGACCGUGGCACUUCCGUGGGGAUGCAGUCAUCCUGAAGGAAUAUGACGGAGUGACGAAGCCAUCAAAUGUCAAGCUGGACACAAUUGAGAUCUGGAUCCAGAUUCAUGAUGUCCCAAUCCUCUACGCCCAUCUGGUUCCAUCCCUUGCAUCAAAGGUGGGUGAGGUUCUUUUCACCGAAUCCCAGUCGCAUGAUUUCACCAAACCCCUCAAGAAUGCAGUAUCCAUGAUACGGGGUGGCGAGAGGCAGAUAUACAAGGUCAAAUACGAGAAGCUACCGGAUUGGUGUGCGGUGUGCGGCAUGCUGGGUCAUCUCUUCAAGGAACAAGGGACAGGCAUCCGCCCUCCGUCAGCUCUUGUCUUUAAGGAGCUCAGGGCGUCUUGGUUCAUGAGGAACGGCAGCGGCCCGGGAGGAGGUCGCGGACGCAGGGGUGGUCGCAGAGGAGGACGUACUGGAAGAAGCGGGAGGUCACGCUCUCAGCAGGGCGGGGAUGACGAAGAGCACACGGAACAAGUCUUGGAGAUGCUUCAUGCUGAGAGACUCAGGAAGAGGGGAUCGGAACCAACGCAGCACCAAGCCCAGGUUGUGCUCUCGAACAAUUCUGACCAAUCUUCGGCGGUGACAAAUGGGACUAUGCUGGCACUGCCCCCUCCAUCGGUGCCACUAAGCCCAAGCGCUAUUAAGGAGACAAAGAGAGCAAAGACGGUGCCUGAGACGGAGAAGGUUUCAGCGGCGAGAAGCUUGUUGCUCAGCAAGAUCGAUCCAAAGUUGGCGGGCCCGAGUGACGGGCACCGCCGAGCCCAAUGAGUGUACUUUGCUGGAACUGUCGCGGCGCGGGCAAAGCCGCGACAGUCCGUGAACUUCGCGAAUUCGCGAAGAAAUUUGCCCCUACCCUACUGUGUAUUGUAGAAACCCAGCUCGAAGGCUCGAGGGUAGAAGCGCUAGCAGGUACACUUGGAUAUGAAAAUGGUUAUGCAGUUAGUAGUCGUGGUAGAAGUGGGGGUAUUGGUAUGUUUUGGAACAAUGAAAUGAAUAUCGAGUUUUUGGGUUAUUCUGAUUAUCACCUUGACUGCUCGGUCCUUGAACCGGGUGAUGAUCCUCGGAGAUUAACUGUAGUAUAUGGCGAAGCUCUGACCCACAAGAGACACCAGACGUGGGACACGUUAAAAAACAUCAGCACUUUGAGCAGUCUCCCCUGGCUAUGUGUUGGUGAUUUCAAUGAGGUGUUGCGUCCGGAAGAACACGUGGGAGUCGGACAGCGAAGCAAUGCGCAAAUCCAAGCUUUCAGAGACGUCGUCGACGUUUGCAUGUUACUUGACAUUGGUUAUGCUGGAAUUCCAUGGACUUUUGAAAAGAAGGUCACGGGAGGAACAUUUACAAGGGUGCGUCUUGACAGAGCCUUGGCCUCGGCGGAAUGGCAAGCCCGCUUUCCUUUGGCUGAUCUCACACAUCUGGUGGCAGCCACGUCCGAUCAUAGCCCUAUAUUGGCGAGGAUGAAUAGAGAGCAAAGACAUAAUGAGAGGCAAAGCUCGUUCAAAUAUGAGGUCAUGUGGGAGGGCCACGAUUCCUAGAGCAGUAAGAUCACGGAGGCAUGGGCAAAUCCUGGAGCUGCCACCAGGUUAGAAGAACUCAGAGCAAAACUUACAACGGUGUCACAAGAUCUUGGGCGAUGGAAUAGGGACACCUUUGGGAGUGUACACAAAGAGAUUAAACAGUUGAAGGGGGAACUUGAGAAACUUAGAUCGGACGCAAGCCGAACCGCUCCAACACAUGUCGAACUUAAGAUCAAUGAAAAGCUUGUGGAGCUAUAUCACAGGGAGGAGGUUAUGUGGAGGAAGAUAUCUAGGGUGGAGUGGCUCUCUUCGGGAGACAGGAACACUAGAUUUUUUCACCUACGGACAAGCAUCCGUCGCAAGAAAAACAUGAUCAAGGCUUUGCAAAAUUCACUUGGUGUGCUAACAGACGAUCUGGAGGAGUUGAAGGCCAUGGUAAAUGAUUUCUAUAAAACACUAUAUACCACGGAGGGGGUGGGUAACAUGGAGACGGUCCUCAACUGUGUCCCGGCUAAAGCAACGUUGGAGAUGAAUGAGUUGUUGUGUUCCCCUUACACAAAUGAGGAGGUUAAGGCAGCUUUGUUCCAGAUGUUCCCGACCAAGGCACCUGGUCCUGACGGAUUUCCGGCACAUUUUUAUCAGCGACACUAGGAGCUUUGUGGUGCAGAGGUGACUGAGGCAGUGUUGAGGAUUGUGAGAGGGGAGGAGAGCCCGGAAUUCAUAAACGACACUAUCCUUGUUCUUAUUCCCAAGGUAACAAACCCCUCCAUCUUGUCACAAUUUAGGCCCAUUAGCCUAUGCAAUGUCCUAUACAAAAUUGCAUCCAAAGUCAUUGCAAACAGGCUUAAGCAAAUUUUGCCGGAUAUCAUAUCUGAGGAGCAAUCGGCCUUCGUACCAGGCAGACUCAUCACGGAUAAUAUCAUAAGUGCAUAUGAGUGCCUUCAUUUCAUGAAGCGGAGUAAAGCGAAGGCUAACAGCUAUUGUGCACUUAAGCUUGAUAUGAUGAAAGCAUAUGAUAGGCUGGAAUGGGACUACCUGGAAGCAAUCAUGGGAAAACUAGGGUUUGCCACCCCCUGGAUAAAAACAGUCAUGAGCAUGGUGCGGUCUGUUUCUUUUUCGGUGCUCUUUAAUGGUGAGAGGCUUGAUCAUUUCAUGCCGAGCAGAGGUAUAAGGCAGGGAGAUCCGAUAUCCCCCUAUAUCUUCUUAAUUGCAGCGGAGGGCCUUUCGUGCCUCCUGAAAACCAGUUCUUUGUCACCAAAUAUUGUUGGAGUAAAGGUGGCACCCACGGCUCCGGCCGUUAACCACCUUCUUUUCGCAGAUGACAGACUGCUGCUUUUUAAGACAGGGAAUGAGGGGGUAGUAGCGGUAUUAAACCUACUGCAAACGUACUGUUUGGCUUCGGGACAGAGGAUAAAUCAUGAUAAAUCUUCGAUUUUCUUCAGCAGAGGAUGCCCACAAGCGGUAAGAGAUGAUAUGAAGAAUGUCCUGAAUGUGCAUAACGAGUCCCUAAGUGACGGGUACUUAGGAAUGCCAACAGAGGUCGGACACUCGAAGAACGGGACUUUCAAAUAUUUGAGGGAUCGAGUUUGGGAAAAGGUGAGAGGAUGGAUGGAAAAACUCUUAUCUUCAGCGGGGAAAGAGGUUCUGAUUAAAGCAGUUGCCCAAGCAAUUCCAGUAUAUUCGAUGGCCUGUUUUCGCCUCCCUCGGGGACUAUGUGAAAGUGUUACUUCGCUAAUCAGACAAUUCUGGUGGGGAAGCAAGCAAGGGAAACGGAAGCCGAGUUGGGUGGCAUGGGAUGUGAUGACCUUACCAAAGCAUCUCGGAGGCCUUGGCUUUCGGGAUAUGGAGAUGUUUAACUUGGCCCUCCUAGCUCGGCAGUCCUGGCGCAUGUUGCAAAAACCCCUGUCCCUGAGUGCGAGGAUAUUGAAAGCAGUCUAUCAUCCUAACUCAGACAUCUUUGGUGCAACGUUGGGAUCCCACCCCUCGCAGAUAUGGAGAGCUAUAUUGGAUGGACGAGAUAUCAUGGUCCAGGGGCUGGUGCGCAGAAUUGGAGACGGUGAAACAACAAAUAUAUGGGAGGACAAUCGGUUGCCGAGACCAAAUAUGAAAAGGCCGAUCACUUCUCUAGUCCCUGAUCCACCGAUGAGUGGCCGAGUUGAUAGACCAUACUUCAUCAUCCUGGAGGGAGGAUCUGGUCCGGUCGGUGUUUAUAUCGAUAGAUGUUGUAGCCAUAUUACAGAUACCCCUUUGCACAUGUCAGACGGAUGAUUUUUGGGCUUGGUCAGAGGAGCGGAAGGGCAUGUUUUCUGUGCGAUCGGCAUAUCGGAUGAUUCAGCGAACAAAGCUAAGUAGGGAGGCAUGGUUGUAUGAACAGGGUGCCUUUUCUGACUCUCUAGGUACAGACCAAGGUUGGUCUGAGCUGUGGCGGAUUAGGGUUCCCUCAAAGCUGAAUUUUUUUCUUAUGGAGAUUAGCCAAACACUCUAUCCCCACAGCUGCACUUCUCCAUCACCGGAACAUGUCAACUUCAAGAGCUUGCUGUCUUUGCGGGGCUGUCGACACUUGGCGCCAUGCUCUAGUGGACUGCUCGGUCUCAAGGAGCACUUGGGCACUUUCUUCUGAAGCUGUCCUUGACAAACUGAGUACAUGCAGAGAGGAAAACGCAAAGAGAUGGCUGUUCGUCAUGCACGAAGCUCUGAACCAAGAUGAUUUUCUUGUCUUUGUUGUCACCCUAUGGGCGCUGUGGAGUGCUCGUAGGAAGGCAAUGUACAAGGAUAUCUUCCAAACACCUUUUGCCAUCAACGGUUUUGUAAAAUCCUACAUUGCAGAGCUCAAAGCCCUCCACGAGCCGGGUGCGGCUGGCAUUAGGGUGCCACAACAUCGCCCUAAUUGCUAGAUUGCACCGCCCUUGGGGAUGGUCAAGAUCAAUGUAGAUGCCGCGGUGGGCCGAGUGCAUGGUGCAGCGGGAGCUGGGUGCAGAGACCGAGACGGAGCCUUCUUGGGAGCUUCGGCGGUGGUUUUCUCCCAUCUGUCAGACCCAGGCACCCUGGAGAUGCUCGCUAUCAGGGAGGCUCUGGCGUUAGCAGAUGAUCUCUGUGUCAGGAGGAUACAUGUUGCCUCAGAUUGUAAGGUGGCCGACGACAUUCAAU